GAGCGGCGAACGGGUGAGUAACACGUGGGUGAUCUGCCCUGUACUUCGGGAUAAGCCUGGGAAACUGGGUCUAAUACCGGAUAUGACCACGGGAUGCAUGUCUUGUGGUGGAAAGAUUUAUCGGUACAGGAUGGGCCCGCGGCCUAUCAGCUUGUUGGUGGGGUAAUGGCCUACCAAGGCGACGACGGGUAGCCGACCUGAGAGGGUGACCGGCCACACUGGGACUGAGACACGGCCCAGACUCCUACGGGAGGCAGCAGUGGGGAAUAUUGCACAAUGGGCGGAAGCCUGAUGCAGCGACGCCGCGUGAGGGAUGACGGCCUUCGGGUUGUAAACCUCUUUCGACAGGGACGAAGCGCAAGUGACGGUACCUGUAGAAGAAGCACCGGCCAACUACGUGCCAGCAGCCGCGGUAAUACGUAGGGUGCGAGCGUUGUCCGGAAUUACUGGGCGUAAAGAGCUUGUAGGCNGGUUCGUCGCGUCGAUCGUGAAAACUUGCA
rnacentral:rRNA from 1 species